CUCAGACAGAGGACGAGGCGGUUGGGGAAGCACCCGCGCACACUUGCCAACAGGUAAGAGACCACCGUUACUCGAUGCCACAUAUAACCAUGAUUGCAGGCCGUGUUUCUCUUUUUUCCCAGAACUGGGCCCAGCGUCCGCGGACGCUUGGGUACUGCAGACGGUCAGAGGAUACCGAAUCGAACUACGAACGACCCCCAGUCAGAGAUCUCCCCCUCGUCCUUUAUGCCUCUCGGAUGCGGACGCUCACCUCAUAGAAGUGGAGCUCCGCGAGCUACACAAGAAGGGCGCUAUACAAUCUGCGCACACACGGUGAGGUUUCUUCAGCAACAUGUUCCUCGUCUGCAAGAAGACGGGAUUUCCGGCCAGUGAUCAAUUUAAGAGACCUGAACGCGUAUGUGACCUACCGCCACUUCAAAA